rnacentral:rRNA from 1 species
CUCUGACCAGCGACGCCGCGUGAGGGAUGAAGGCCUUCGGGUUGUAAACCUCUUUCAGCAGGGAAUAAGCGAAAGUGAAGGUACUGCAGAAGAAGCACCGGCUAACUAUGUGCCAGCAGCCGCGGUAAUACAUAGGGUGCAAGCGUUGUCCGGAAUUAUUGGGCGUAAAGAGCUCGUAGGUGGUCGAUCACGUCGGAUGUGAAAAUCUGAGGCUUAACCUCAGACCUGCAUUCGAUACGGGUUGACUGGAGUGUGGUAGGGGAGAC